rnacentral:sRNA from 1 species
AAGGAAACAUUUUAAACCAACGAAAUUGAAUCAAGAGACAAAAUUCAAAAGAAAAUAAAAAACUAUGGGAAAAAUAAGACCUAAACUUCUCCUAAAAAAUGUGAACGCCGGAAACACCAAUAAGAUCGGAUAGAUUUUACACCGAAGUCAAAACUAAUAGUAAAUCGACAGAGAGGAAAGCAAGAAGCCGCUGAAACCAGAGACAUAAGUACAAACACCAUCACACCUCACCCACCAGACCGAGAUAGCAAAAUGUACUAGGGACAAGGCAUAAACCUUGAAGAUCUACUAGAGAUAAUUAAAGCACUAGACACAAUCAGUAUCGAUUCUACUUGGGUUAGCUGAUUUUCGAGCCAUAAACUAUUUCGAUUCUCAGCUUUCACCCCCGGACUUUUGGGCCCUUAAAUUUCCACCAUCAACUUUCAUAUUCCCAAAAUUACAUCAUCUACUUUCGGAUUCAUGCUUAAACAUACAUUUCCAAUUGAACCAUUCAUUUAACCGGGAUUAACCACAAAUCCGCGUUUACUGUACCGCGAUUGCGAUUAACCCGACUAAUACCCAGACCCGUUAAGAAAACGACGUCGUUUUCAUUUCGUUUAACUCAUCAAAAAGAGAAAGAAAACGACGUCGUUUUCAUUCUUCUUCUUCUGCAAAAUCGAUUUGGUCGAUUAGGGUUCUUCAUUCGACAAUUUUAUAAGAAAAUGAGCACCAACAGCUACUACUCAUCCGCUUCCAGUUCAGGAUUUCGUGUCUGUCCUCCUGGUGUCCCCUCGAAAUGUUGGUGUGGAGAAGAGAUCAUUACAUUCACAUCGAAAACAAAGGAGAAUCCAUACCGGAGAUUCUACCGUUGUGCGAUAGCAAUGAAGGUACACAUUUCGAUUUUGUGAUAUAUUUGAUUGAUUGAAGGAGUAAAUGAUUGGAAAUUA